AACGAACGCUGGCGGCAGGCUUAACACAUGCAAGUCGAACGCCCCGCAAGGGGAGUGGCAGACGGGUGAGUAACACGUGGGAACAUGCCCAAAGGUACGGAACAACUCCGGGAAACUGGAGCUAAUACCGUAUGUGCCCGAGAGGGGAAAGAUUUAUCGCCUUUGGAUUGGCCCGCGUUGGAUUAGCUAGUUGGUGGGGUAAAAGCCUACCAAGGCGACGAUCCAUAGCUGGUCUGAGAGGACGACCAGCCACACUGGGACUGAGACACGGCCCAGACUCCUACGGGAGGCAGCAGUGGGGAAUCUUGGACAAUGGGCGCAAGCCUGAUCCAGCCAUGCCGCGUGGAUGAUGAAGGCCCUAGGGUUGUAAAAUCCUUUCGUUGGGGACGAUAAUGACGGUACCCAAAGAAGAAGCUCCGGCUAACUUCGUGCCAGCAGCCGCGGUAAUACGAAGGGGGCUAGCGUUGUUCGGAUUUACUGGGCGUAAAGCGCGUGUAGGCGGGUCGUU
rnacentral:rRNA from 1 species